UACAGAGGUCUCAAGCGUUGUUCGGAUUCAUUGGGCGUAAAGGGUGCGUAGGCGGCGCGGUAAGUCGGGUGUGAAAUCUCGGGGCUUAACUCCGAAACUGCAUUCGAUACUGCCGUGCUUGAGGACUGGAGAGGAGACUGGAAUUUACGGUGUAGCGGUGAAAUGCGUAGAUAUCGUAAGGAAGACCAGUGGCGAAGGCGGUUCUCUGGGCCUGACCUGACGCUGAGGAGCGAAAGCGUGGGGAGCGAACAGG
rnacentral:rRNA from 1 species